UACGUAGGGUGCAAGCGUUGUCCGGAUUUAUUGGGCGUAAAGAGCUCGUAGGCGGUCUGUCGCGUCGGAUGUGAAAACCCAGGGCUCAACCCUGGGCCUGCAUUCGAUACGGGCAGACUAGAGUACGGCAGGGGAGACUGGAAUUCCUGGUGUAGCGGUGAAAUGCGCAGAUAUCAGGAGGAACACCGGUGGCGAAGGCGGGUCUCUGGGCCGUUACUGACGCUGAGGAGCGAAAGCGUGGGGAGCGAACAGG
rnacentral:rRNA from 1 species